rnacentral:pre_miRNA from 1 species
AGUGGGAUAGCUGGGUCAAAUGGUGGUUCCAAUCCCAAUUUUCCAAGAAAUCUCCAUACUGCUUUCCAGAUUGGUUGCACUAAUUUGUGUUCCCACCUGCAAU